rnacentral:miRNA from 1 species
GGAUGAUCAACAGGCCCUUAGAU